rnacentral:rRNA from 1 species
AUUGAACGCUGGCGGCAUGCCUUACACAUGCAAGUCGAACGGUAACGCGGGGCAACCUGGCGACGAGUGGCGAACGGGUGAGUAAUGCAUCGGAACGCGCCCAGUAGUGGGGGAUAGCCCGGCGAAAGCCGGAUUAAUACCGCAUACGACCUACGGGUGAAAGCGGGGGACCGUAAGGCCUCGCGCUAUUGGAGCGGCCGAUGUCAGAUUAGGUUGUUGGUGGGGUAAAAGCCUACCAAGCCGACGAUCUGUAGCUGGUCUGAGAGGACGACCAGCCACGCUGGGACUGAGACACGGCCCAGACUCCUACGGGAGGCAGCAGUGGGGAAUUUUGGACAAUGGGGGCAACCCUGAUCCAGCCAUGCCGCGUGCGGGAAGAAGGCCUUCGGGUUGUAAACCGCUUCUGUCAGGGAAGAAACGCUCUGGGCUAAUACCCCGGGGUAAUGACGGUACCUGAAGAAUAAGCACCGGCUAACUACGUGCCAGCAGCCGCGGUAAUAC